GUGACAGCAGCCGCGGUAAUACGUAGGGGGCAAGCGUUGUCCGGAAUUAUUGGGCGUAAAGAGCGCGUAGGCGGUUCGGUAAGUCGGCUGUGAAAGUCAAGGGCUCAACCUGGGAAUGGCAUUUGGGACUGCAAGGCUGGAGUGUGGCAGAGGAGACUGGAAUUCCUGGUGUAGCAGUGAAAUGCGUAGAUAUCAGGAGGAAUACCGAUGGCGAAGGCAGGUCUCUGGGCUAACACUGACGCUCAUGCACGAAAGCGUGGGGAGCAAACAGAAUUAGAAACCCUUGUAGUCC
rnacentral:rRNA from 1 species